rnacentral:rRNA from 1 species
UCCCUAUGGGGUGCAGCAGGCGCGAAACCUCCACAAUGCGCGAAAGCGUGAUGGGGUUAGCCCGAGUGCUAUCCGAAAAGGAUGGCUUUUCCUUGGCGUAAAAACCCAGGGGAAUAAAGGGGGGGCAAGACUGGUGUCAGCCGCCGCGGUAAUACCAGCUCCCUGAGUGGUAAGGACGAUUAUUUGGCUUAAAGCGUCCGUAGCCGGCUUAGUGAGUCUUUUGUUAAAUCCAAUGAUUUAAUCAUUGAACUGCAAGAGAUACUGCUAUGCUAGAGGACGGGAGAGGUCGACGGUAGUCCAGGGGUAGGGGUGAAAUCCUAUAAUCCUUGGAGGACCACCAGUGGCGAAGGCGGUCGACUAGAACGUGCCUGACGGUGAGGACGAAAGCUGGGGGAGCGAACCGGAUUAGAUACCCGGGUAGUCCCAGCUGUAAACGAUGCGGGCUAGGUGUAGGGGCAGCUACGAGCUGCUCCUGUGCCGCAGAGAAAUUGUUAAGCCCGCCGCCUGGGGAGUACGAUCGCAAGAUUGAAACUUAAAGGAAUUGGCGGGGGAGCACCACAAGGGGUGAAGGCUGCGGUUUAAUUGGAUUCAACGCCGGGA